rnacentral:rRNA from 1 species
GACGAACCGUACGAACGUUAUUCGGAAUCACUGGGCUUAAAGGGUGCGUAGGUGGAGUGGUAAGUCAGUGGUGAAAUCUCCAAGCUUAACUUGGAAACUGCCGUUGAUACUAUCAUUCUUGAAUAUCGUGGAGGUAAGCGGAAUAUGUCAUGUAGCGGUGAAAUGCUUAGAUAUGACAUAGAACACCGAUUGCGAAGGCAGCUUGCUACACGAUCAUUGACACUGAGGCACGAAAGCGUGGGGAUCAAACAGG